CACACACACACAUGCACAUACACUCACACAUGCACAUACACUCGCUAACGUACACACACACACACACAUGCACACACAUGAGCAGUUCAUGAUCCACAUUAUCCUCACGCCCCUCCAGAGGCCCCCAACUCUCAUACAGCUACAAUUCAACUUUUAUUAAAAGCCCCAAAGAGCGUGAGGAAGAGACACCUCGACUUCUCUUAAUGAUCUUAUUCAGAUACUUUAUUUCAACUGUUUCUUACUAGUUAAAUCUUGCCCGAGUUUAAUAGAGGCCAGAUAAUUUGCAGCCCCUGUCCAGAGGAGAGAGCGGCCGGCUCGGCUCCCCCGCGGUUGCCAGUCUAUCGGAUUUAGGGAUUCAAGUGGAAACAAACCGCACCCGAGAUGCGCAGGCUCCCACUGUACGUUUGUUUUCGCCUUUUUCCCUUUUAUUUAGUGAAACUCUGACCCACGCUGCUUCUCAGGGAUCAACUCUCUUAUUUCCGUAAAAGACCUGUCUCCCGGCGGCUCAGGGUGAUGCUGCAGACCUGGCGAGGAGAGGCGUCCCUUCUGUCCCCGGCCCUGCGCUCUCCGCUCUUCUCAAGCCGGAGCCGGGGGCCGUUUCCACUCCACGCUCUGUCCGAGUAACUGGAGAGCCACGUGCCGCCCCGGUAGGAUUCGCCAGAUGUAGCCAGUGAAACCACAAGGACCCCAGUUCCAUUUGAACUUGAGAUAAAUGACAGGUAAUCUUAUACUUUUUAGUGUAAGUCGGUCAUAUAGAAUAUUCAGACUGACUUAUGCUAACAAGUUCUCACUGUUUAUCUGAAAUUCACAUUGAACAGGGAGGGCAUCCUGUGUUUUAUCUGGCAGCCUGAUGCUGGGGUACCUUCCUAGGGGCAUCCCUAUGGUCCCCAGACCAUCCAAACCCUUUUUCAGGGCACGCGACACAGAUAAUAAUAGGAAGGGACAUCGUGCCUCCUGGAUCGCACUGGUGACUGUUUUCUUAUCCUUUAGAGAACCUAGCGGUUCCUAGCUUAGGAAGGGGCUCCCAAAAGCUCUUUGUAGACAGAAGAGGUGCAGAAGAUAGAGACCGUCUCAUCCUAACCCCACCGCCUUUCUUUUAUUUAAUUCUUUGAAACUGGGGAGAUGUGGAUGUUACCCCUUAGAAACACUCAGGCCAGGGUAUGAUUAUAAGAGCUCUAGCAAUAGAAUUAGCAAUAGGGUUUAAAUGACUCAUGGUGGUACCUGAAUUUCCCCUAGAGGGUUCACAAUCUGUACUUUAACUCUGCUGACCCGCCAAACACUCAGUGAGGCAGGAAAUUUAGGAAAUCAGCACUUAGGGGAUUGUGUCACCCAAAAUCUUACUGGCAGGGCUUACAUUCUAGGGUGGGUUUCCUGGUUUCUCUUCCUUGUGGACCUUUCCCCACCCAGCAUCAUUUUCCUUAAUGGACACAUCAUCGGCUGGAUCAAGAGCCCUUUCUGACCGCAGGGAAUGGGCUUAAGAGUAACCAGCUCCAUCUCUUCCAUCAUAGACCUGCCGUGUUACUCUCGUCAGGAUCAUAAUUAUGCAAAGAUGUGGCCAUAACUAAUUUUGAAAAGAGACAGUAAACCACAAUUAAUCAUUAAUUUAUUUUAUUAUGAAAAGAAUGCUUUAGAGAAAAUUUACAAUAUUAAGAAAAGCAUACAGAUGAAAGUAAUAAAUACCAAGCUCUUAUUAACCUUUUGGUUUUUUUCUUUGUAUCUGCUUGUUGAGGCAUACAUACAUUCCUGUUUGUGUAAAUGCACAUUUAAAAAAAUUAAUAAUGUUCUUAAAUAUUUUACCCUGUUUUUCAUUUAUCAUGCUCCACACGCAUUUUCUAAAUGCAUUUCAACGGUUUUUUUUUUUUUAGAAAAUGUAGGUUUUAAGUGCACCCCAAUUUUCACAUUUGCUUCCUUCACUCCAUCACGGGCACUGACUUUAAAGUGGGCCUGUUCAGGCUCUCAUGUGGUGGGACAGACACAUAAGAAAAGGCUCUGGGUGAUCACAGAUGCGUGUCCACCCCUGCCCGUGAGAAUGAUUCAUGAGACCUGAGAAAGCCUGCUAAUCACUCGUGUCACCAUUUCCCCAAGAAAUGGGAACCUGCAGGUGUGUCUUCAAGCCAGAAGAAACACAAAGAUAAACAAGACUUUAAAAGAAAUUGUUUGGGCAUGUCUUCAAGGUUGGGCACCCCCUAAACACACAGCAAUAUCAACCCACUUGUUUGGGCCUCGCUUUGUUGGGGAGAUCUUCUUAUAAGUGCCCUAGCUCUUUGAGAGAAAAAUGACUCUCCUGACCCUUGAUGAACAUAACAUGUAUCAUUCCUUGUUUGAAAUUAAGUUAAAAUAACAUUUAUUUAUUUAUUUAUUGUUUUUAUGAGACGGAAUCUUGCUCAGUUGCCCGGCUAGCGUGCUGUGGCAUCAGCCUGGCUCACAGCAACCUCAGACUCAGGCUCAAGCGAUCCUCCCACCUUGGCCUCCCAGAGUGCUAGGAUUACAGGCAUGUGUCACCACACCUGGCCUAAAACAACAUUUAUUUUAUGCUUAGCAUCUAUAAUCACGACUUCAUUCAGCCGACAUUUACCAUAUGCAUGCCGACACCUGCUGGCACUUACACAUAUAUGAUUCUGUUUCACCCUUCUUCCAAAAACAACGUCUGAGAUAUUAUUAAAAUUGUUGUUGUUAGCAUUAAUGCUCCUUUAAAAAUUAUUUUACAAUAAUUAUAGACUCACAGGAAGUUAUUAAAAAUAGGACAUAGAGUUCUGAAUACCCUUCACUCAACUUUCCCCAAUGGUGAAUGCCUUUCUUUUCUUUCUCUGUUUGUUUGUUUAUUAAUACACCGGCACACUGAGGCUCAGGAUAGCCAAGGUGUUUUCCAGCUUGCAGCUAGAGAGUGGGGUGGAGACUGAGCUCAAACGAGGGUCUAUUUGAAUCCAAAGCAAAAACCUCCUUCCCCUGACUUUGGCCCAGGGGAAGGUGUGACUGAGCAACAAGAGCCCAGCUUGCAGUUUGCAAUCUCUUAUUCUGGAACCGAGAGUUCCAUUCUGUUCUUUCCCACAUCCGACCUGCCUGAGGUUGCCACGGACAUAGCGGUUGAGUCCUCUGGGGUGGUCUUAUUCUCAGCUGGGGGAAGGACUUGGGCUGUCUAAUACUAUAGGUGAGAAGGGAAAUAGAAGCCCCUGACAGCCUGACCCCCUUUUGCUGGCACCAGGCUCCGUUCAGUGGCACUGGAGCAGACCCUGUAAAUAUGCAAACGCAGGGAAAUCCUGCACCAGCCCAUCAGCCGCCUAGAUGGGACCAAAGGAAAGGCACAUUAUUGCAGGCAACCCACUCCAAGAAAUCUCUGCGUUUCUGAGAAUCCCUGAGUAGUUAGCGAUUGUAAAUAAAGAAGCCAAAGACAGCCAAGUUCAUUUCCAAUGUUUUGGAUGAUUCUGUCAGAAAUGUGUACAAGCACAUGCCUUCAUGGCAGAAAGCUCUCCACUGGCUUCUCUCUUGCCUUUUUUUCCUCCCUUCAAAUUGAUACCUCGAAGCCUUAAGUCAAACUGUGUUUUAUUAAGAGAAUGGGCUAUUUGAGAUACGGUUGUGACAUUUACCAGGGCCGAGCCCAGCUGUCGUUCUGCCAAGAUCCUUCACGCUGAAUCUGGAUCUCAGUACAGAGAGAUCCAUGCUUUGCUCAGUUUUGCUUGGCUUGGAUGCUUUUGCUCAGUUCCUACCCAAGUGGCAGGGUUUUUUGCCAAGAGCAGGAUGAUUUCCUGGCCCCUGGGAUGGUAUCUGUUGAUAGUGUGGGUGGUUCACAGAAGCUAUAUGCAUCUAGCCGCAUGAGCUUGGCUUUCUUCUCCAUGAGCGAGAUUCCAGAAAAUCACACCAUCGCUACUGGGACAGCCACGAGAAGGGGUAAAGGGCUCCUGGCACCUAGGAACAGGGCAUGGCUGGGAAACUAAAGGGGGCAGAGGAAACUCUUGGAAUAUGGGAUCCCUAGCAACUGGAACUGGAUCGUCACAUUCACUUUUGUUUUGAAACUGUCACCUUCUUCUCUGUUGGUGUGGAACCAAUGUGUUUCGGGUGCCAUGGCACAAAGAGACCUUUCUCAGGUGGCUCUUCCAAAUUGCCCGACAAUGGUUUCUUCUUCAAACGGUGGUGAGAAUUCUUACAUAAGCUUCUCCAAGAGGUGGUCUUAAUGAUUGUGAGGCAAAAUGAUGGGACCCUCCCCACCCCAUCAGGGUGGAAGCCCCCCCCCCCCCGCCCCCAGGUCUCCUAUUUUGUGAGGUCGUCAAAUGUUGACAUUAGAAAAGGAACUUGGUAGAAAUUCAGUCUUCUCUCUUUCCCUAGUGGAACUUGAUCCUCUGGGCUCAUAGGAAGAAAAAUAGUAUUUUCAAGCUUUUCUGACUUGCGAAGCCAUGGAGCUGAAUGACUUCUUUUGUUUGGGGAGUUGAUUCAAGUCUUUCUGAGGUUGUUUAGAUUCCACUUAAGCAAGACCCUGAAUUUCCAGUCAUUCUGCUGGAAGAAAAUGGCGGUGCUGGUACCACGCAGAGCAAUGCUCAGGAAAAUCAACACCCUGGAUGGCAAGCGGAUACGUCCUCCAACUCUCACGUGUACAUACUGUGUUUGCACCCAUGCUGUGAAUACUUUCUUAUUAUUUUCAAGCAAGCUCAUCUUUACAAAGCUAUUAUUCAUGAAACUGUACCUGGAAACACUCCCUCCCCCAACCAAAAAAAAAAGCUAACUAGCAAUCCAUUUCUAAAAUAAUUCCACUACACAUUUGAAUGCCAGGUAACGGGGAAGUCUGACAAGUUGCAUGUUCGAGGUCCCUUCCCAGCGACGCCACUGUGAAUAGGCAAUGAGAACACAUUUGCUCCUCUCCGACAAGCCGGAAGAGCUUAUUUCCCCUGUGCGGUGCAGAGUCCUGCGAAUCGGGCCAGAAAGCUAGACUGUGAUUUAUCUGAAAACAACUGUUAAACAUUUCAGAAAUUAAACUUACUAAAAUGUAGGGGGAGGAAGGUUAGAACAGACAUUGAGAACAAAUAUCAAAUGUUCCACUUUUGUGGUGAGGGGCGGGGGGGGGAGGUGUUCUUGUAUCGAUUUCAUUCUUCCAUUUGAUGAGGAUUUAUUGUUGUGCUUUUACUUGCCUGGGAGAGAUACACAGAGUGCCAAGAAAGACUGGGGUUUUCACAACCGGGACAGUUUGCGUGGGCCGGCCCACCCCGUAGAAGAGACAGCAGGCGUCCCGCAUACCAGGUCCUAAGCUAAGCACUUCCCACCAUUGAUUUAAUUUAUUCCCCACAGCAAGCUCAUGAAACAUGUACUCUAAUCGUCCCCAUUUUACAGGUUAGGAAACUGAGGCCCAGGAAGGUUAAGUAACUUGCCUGAGAUCCCACACAGGGCAAAGGGUAAAACUGGGAUUCCUAAUCCCAGGCUGUUUGACUUCAGAAACACUGCUCCCAACCAACCACCUUGCUAGAUGCUCUCUGUUUAUCUGCCUUCAACUGCAGAGUAACUUCCGAAAAGCUCAGUUUCGUUGGGCAUCUACUACACUGCGGGGACAGCUUCGGAAGUUAGCCCCGUGAGGUAGUCACCUCUUUUAUUACACUCAUGCUCCAAAUGGGGAGCUUGACACUGGCCACAUAGCUACCGUAGUCAGUUGCAGGAGCAAGAUCCAAAAUCGUGUUUCCUUGGCUCUAAAACCUCUACCUACUGCAACAUGCUUCCUCUAAGCUACUGCUUUGCUGAACGGUGAGCAUACCAGCAUGGGGGUCUGGAAUGAGAAGCUGUUGCCCAAGUUAUAGGGACCUGGUCUAUCCCCUACCCUGGUGAGGUCCAGUGUGAGAGUGUGAACUUGCAUACCCGUGUGCACAUGUGCAUACGUGCAUGCAACGUGGCUGCUAGUCCAUACAGGCACCUUAAUGCACAGUGGGAAAAGGGAAAAGGCACUCCCUUUGCGCAAACAUAGCUCUGUGAUCCCAUUGCCUGGGGAGAAGACAACACCUGUGUACUGCAGGUCGGCCCCCCUCUCCGGCUGUUUGGCACCUGCGGCCACCCAGGUGGAUGCAGGUGUGUAUGAAGGUGGACAGCAAGUGUGGAGAGCCCUCGGCACUGUGCAGCCCACGGCACUGGGCUCUGCGAGACCCAUCCCGGGGGACACAGAACCAUCCAUCCUCAUCAACUGGGAGAAUGAAAUCAAUACUCACAAACCCACAUUUUUUCCUGCCACAAAACCUGACUCGGGCACAUCUGUUUCUUUAUGAUGUUUUUACCAUUAUUUUCUUCACAUUCAAAUAUGGACGGCCUGGGAGCUGUUAAACAGUUGUUUUCAUAAACGGCACACCCUCGCCUUCCCAAGAUCCUUAAAGAGCUCCCCCACCGCCGGGGAGAAGGAGGUUUCUUCUCCGGAGAGGGGCGGUACGGAUGGUGCACUGGGAAUGCAGGUGGAGGCUCUUGCUCCCCUAGCAGGACACCUGGAGCUGUCUUUCACCUCGAGAGCCCUUGAUCACAGCCCCGCUGGGGAAAGUGGAGCUCACAUCCCUGCUGGUCUAGGCAUGGAACCUCAAACCCCAAAGUUCAUGUGCAAAUGUGCAAGGCUGGAAGGUUUCAUUUUCUUCAACCAGAGAUCAGCAUCCUGCACUGGUUUGAAAAUUAUCUGGAAACGGGCUUGCGGAAGAAACCAUUGAGAGCUUGAAAGAUGCUCUGCCUUAAGAUAGAGUCUGGGAGGCUGGGAGCACCUGUACUGAGGUGAAGGUUUGCCUGUUCUUUGUGCCUCUAACUUGGAUCUAAGGAAGGGGUAGAGGAGAAAAGAUCUGUCUCUCAAGGUAAAGACAGACAUUCUCUUUCAAAGAGCUGUGGUAUUAUGGAAGAGGCUGCCUCAAUAGGUAGUGAGUUCUCCAUCCCAGGGAAUGAUCAAAAAGAAUCCAUAACUGGGGACAUGAGAGGAGGAAAGAUUCCUGCGCUGGGUGACAGGUUAGAACAAUCACUUCUCAGAUCUCUUUGUCCCCUGAGAUGUUGAGUUUACAACGGAUCAGCAGUCCGGUCGAGUGUCAAUCUGCGCCUGUCACUUUGCCGCAGCUAAUCGAGGUGGCUCAUGUUCACAGACUCGAGCCAAGGUAAAUAUUUAGAGCUACGCCUGUUAGCUCUCAGACUAAUGGAUCUGGAUUCCAGUGUUGGUUCUGGUGUGAGCCGUGCGAGCCCUGGGCUGGUUUGCUGAAUUUCUCUAAGCCUUGGUUUCAUCCUCUGCACAUUGGGACGCCAAUUUCGCAGGUUCAAUGGCUCGCCGAGUGCCAAGGGCUGAGCACUCAACCAAUGGCAAGGAUAUACAUCCGUAUAGCAGCAGGUGCUGGGUCCAAGCUGUCGGGAACCUAGUAACAUGCUUGUCUUCAACACUGCACCGCACAUCUCGCCUGACUCUAAAUGCAGUCGAUGUCUCCCUUACUUUUGAAAUUAAAAUGUGUUAAAUUCAGUGAUGUUUUUAUUGUCGAUAAAGAUGAUGCUAAAACGUGCCUGGGUAAUCUGGACCUUUCUGAAAUAAAGACCUGAGUUUGUUCCUA